UACAGAGGGUGCGAGCGUUGUCCGGAAUCACUGGGCGUAAAGGGCGCGUAGGCGGUCUGCUAAGCGUGUGGUGAAAGCCCGGGGCUCAACCCCGGGUCGGCCGUGCGAACUGGUGGACUGGAGCUUGUCAGAGGCAGGCGGAAUUCCGGGUGUAGCGGUGGAAUGCGUAGAGAUCGGGAGGAACACCUGUGGCGAAGGCGGCCGGCUGGGGGUGCCCUGACGCUGAGGCGCGAAAGCGUGGGGAUCAAACAGG
rnacentral:rRNA from 1 species